CGGGGAUCCAGGCUGUCCAGGAGAUGGGCAGCGGGAGCUGAGGGCGGCCGGCUCCCGGGCCGCUGCGGGGAGGCUGAGUGCCACCCCCGCUACUCAGUCCGCGGGGCUGGGAUGAAGCUUUCUGGCAAGGAGUUGUGAGUUGGUGCGUGUCACUCUCCACUGGGCGGCGGGGCUCCUCCUAGAGGAAAAUAUUGGUAGUUGCGGGAGACCUCCCUCCUCUCCACCCACCGGGUUCCCCCAAAGAAGUAUCUAGAAGUCCUCAACUUCUGUACAUUCAAAGAGAGCAGUGCACCUCCUGCAGGUAUGGGAAGAAGUCCCUUGGAAAGUGUGAUGAGUCUACUAGAUUUUACCGGUCUAGUUGGUUUUCAAGCUCCUGCUCACUGGGAUUCAGCAUAAAGGACAUUCCCAGUCCGAGAGGUUAAAAAAAAAUGAAGACAAAGCAGGUGAUUUACCAAGAAUGCAUUCCUGUUUGAAGAGAGCUAUGCUAAUACGGGACAUAGGUCUGCAGGGAGGGCAGGAAUAGGACCCAGCCUGAGGUUCGUCCUUGUUUGUGACCUAGGGAAAGGCACCAUUUGUCCAUCAGACACAGGCUCUUGGUACUUCAUUCCAUUUUGUUGAAAAAAAUUAACCAAGACGGGAGUUGUCAAAGCACUUCCCAAAGUCAGAGUGCUGUGUAAGUAUUGGCGUGAAGCACCAGACUGCCAACAACCACUUGCUUCUCCAGGCACAGAGUACAAAGGUACAAAAGUCCAGCCCCGGGCCGUCGAGCUGUCUCAUCUGGAGGAACAACGGGUCACGUGGUCUUCUUACUAUUUGCUUUGUACUGACAGCUAGUUGGCAUACUGUAUGUGGAUGGCCUAGACUGUCCCUGGUGGACCAGGAGACACCUAUGGGAAUGUCUUGAACCUGGAAGAUAGCAGACUAUAUCUGGCAGAUUCAUGGGAAUAUUAAAAGAUAGAUUUCAAAGGAGGCUCAUGAAUGGAUUUUCCUCUUGAAGUCGUUCUAGCAUUUAAGCAUGGAGAUUUUAUUUAAAUGUGGAACAAUGCUAUCAUCUCUAUCUGUUCAAAUGAAAAAGCCUAUUAAAAGAAAUAACUCAUAGACAAUGAUUUAGCUUCUGUUUGGGUAAUUACACCAAUGAGUAACUCACUAACUUCUUCACUGGGAAGCUUGUCCUAUUUUGUGACUGUGCUAUUUAUUAAAAGUACUUUAGCCAACAUCUGCCAUUUUAUUAUUUAUGUGUGGUUUUGUCUCUAAAAGCCUACAGGGCAAAUAUUAGAAAUUUAAUUUUUUUCUCAUGACACAUUGCCA
ensembl:lncRNA